UAGCUCAGUUGGUAAAGCGUGCGACUCUUAAUCUCAGGGUCGUGGGUUCAUGUCCCAU
rnacentral:tRNA from 1 species